AAAAUAUUAAAAUAAAAAUCUUAAUUAAAUCUAAUCAAAAUUAAAUCAAACCUUGGUCAAAUCUUAGUCAAAUCCUUAUCAAAUCCUAAUCAAUUCCUAAAUAAAUCCUAAUUAUAUCCUAAAUAAAUCCUUAUCAAAUUCUAAAUAAAAUCUAAUAAAAUCUUAGACAAAUCUUAGCCAAAUCUUAAUUAAAUCCUAAUCAAAUCCUAAAUAUAUCCUAAUCAAAUCUUAGUCAAAUCCUAAACAAAUCUUAAUUGAAUCCUAAUCAAAUUCUAAAAGAAUCUUAACUAAACCUUGAUCAAAUCUUAAAUAAAUCCUAAUCAAAUCCUAAAUAAAACCUAAUUAAAUCAUAGAUAAAUCCUAGUCAAAUUCUAAUCAAAUUCAAAUCAAACUUUAAACAAAUUCUAAUCAAAUCCUAAUCAAAUCCUAAAUAAAUCCUAGUCAAAUUCUAAAUAAAAUCUAACCAAAUUUUAAACAAAUCAUAGUGAAAUCUUAGACAAAUCCUAAUCAAAUCCUAAAUAAGCCCUAUCCAAAUCUUAGACAAAUCCUAAUCAAAUUCUAAUCAAAUUCUAAUCAAAUUCUUAUCAAAUCCUAAUUAAAUCCUAAUAAAAUCUUAAAUAAAUCUUAGCCAAAUCCUAGUCAAAUCCUAAUCAAAUCCUAAAAAAGACUUAACCAAAUCCUAAUCAAUUCCUAAAUAAGCCAUAUGCAAAUCCUAGACAAAUUCUAAUCAAAUUCUAAUCAAAUGCUAAUCAAAUCUUAUCAAAUCUUAAUUAAAUCCUAGUAAAAUCCUAAAUAAAUCUUAACCAAAUCUUAGUCAAAUCCUAAUCAAAUUCUAAAUAAAUUCUAGUCAAAUCCUAAAUAAGUCCUAUCUAAAUCCUAAACAAAUCCUAAAAAAUUUUUAAUCAAAUUCUAAUUAAAUCCUAAUCAAAUCUUAAUUAAAUCCUAGUCAAAUUCAAAAUAAGUCCUAUCCAAAUCCUAGACAAAUUCUAAUCAAAUCCUAACCAAAUCCUAAUCAAAUCUUAAUUAAAUCCUAAUCAAAUCUUAAAUAAAUCCUAAUAAAAUUCUAAAUAAAUUAUAGUUAAAUCUUGAAUAAAUCCUAAAAUAAUCUUAACCAAAUCCUAAUCAAAUCUUAAAUAAAUCCCAAUCAAAUUCUAGACAAAUCUUAAUCAAACCUUAGUCAAAUCUUAAUCAAAUCCUAAACAAAUCCUAACAAUCUCAAGUAAUAUCUAUAGCAUAUUUAAACCUCAAUAAUUAAUGAAUGAACCAUUGAUUUUAACUCAAUUUUUUCACACCUUUUAAUAAUUAAAUUGAUAAUAAGCACAAAAAAUUUGAAGAA
rnacentral:lncRNA from 1 species